AUCACUCGAGGGGCCCAGAGAUAUCACUCUCAAUCAGAGAGGGGCAAAUCCCUUCUUGAUUGACCAUGUCUCAUAGCAUGCUUCUUGACAAACCCGAAAGCUACCUUUAUGACUACCCUGUUACGGCGUAGCGUUUGAUAGCCCCUAAGUAGGUCGAUCCACAUCUAGAAUACAUGCGACAAUCUCAGGUCUAAGGACAAAGCGUAUAUGUUGUUUAAAGAGAGAACUACUUCUCGUGUUGGGUCAGUCCUAACACAUGUCUCCACAUGUGUCCACAUUAUUAGUUCAACAUCUCCAUGUCCAUGACUUGUGAAACAUAGUCAUCAACUAAUACAUGUGCUAGUCUAAUAUUCAUGUGUGUCCUCACAUGAACUCCGACUAGGGACAACUUUAGAAUAACCAUACAAGUAAAGAGUUUCACAUACAAUUCACAUAAUUGCUAAUCAAUUCAAGUAGCCUUUAAUGGAUAUUCAAUGAACAUAAUAUACAAAUCAUGGAUACAAAUGGAAUAUCAUCAUCUCUAUGAUUGCCUCUAGGGCAUACCUCCAACAGUCUCCCACUUGCACUAGAGUCAAUCUAGAAGGUAC
rnacentral:lncRNA from 1 species